GACAUACCACCCUGAACAUACCAAUCUCAUCUGAUUUCUGAAGCUAAGUAGGGUCGGGCCUGGUUAGUACUUGGAUGGGAGGAAAUACUGACAGAAAUAUCA
ensembl:rRNA 5S_rRNA 5S ribosomal RNA